rnacentral:rRNA from 1 species
GACGAACGCUGGCGGCGUGCUUAACACAUGCAAGUCGAACGGAAAGGCCCUGCUUGCAGGGUACUCGAGUGGCGAACGGGUGAGUAACACGUGGGUGAUCUGCCCUGCACUUCGGGAUAAGCCUGGGAAACUGGGUCUAAUACCGGAUAGGAGCCAUUUUUAGUGUGAUGGUUGGAAAGUUUUUUCGGUGUGGGAUGAGCUCGCGGCCUAUCAGCUUGUUGGUGGGGUAAUGGCCUACCAAGGCGGCGACGGGUAGCCGGCCUGAGAGGGUGGACGGCCACAUUGGGACUGGGGGACGGCCCAGACUCCUACGGGGGGCAGGAGUGGGGAAUAUUGCACAAUGGGCGCAAGCCUGAUGCAGCGACGCCGCGGGGGGGAAGACGGCCUUCGGGUUGUAAACUCCUUUCGCUAGGGACGAAGCUUUUUGUGACGGUACCUAGAUAAGAAGCACCGGCUAACUACGUG